GGCGUCAGCAGCCGCCGCCGCGUCAUGGAGAGACGCGACCCCGUCGGCGCCAGACUGGUCAGGAUGUCCAGGCGCGGGGGGGGCGGCGGCGAUGGCGUC
rnacentral:pre_miRNA from 1 species